rnacentral:rRNA from 1 species
AGUAAACGGCGGCCGUAACUAUAACGGUCCUAAGGUAGCGAAAUUCCUUGUCGGGCAAGUUCCGACCCGCACGAAAGGCGUAACGAUUUGGGCGCUGUCUCAGCUGUAGACUCGGUGAAGUCUUAGUACCUGUGAAGAUGCAGGUUGCCCGCGACUAGACGGAAAGACCCCAUGGAGCUUCACUGCAGGUUGACAUUGGGCUUGGAUGCAUGAUGUACAGGAUAGGUGGGAGGCUGUGAGCCGUGCGCGCCAGCGUACGGGGAGCCGCUGUUGGGAUACCACCCUUCAUGCAUCUAGGUCCUAACCGGAGGCAACGGGCCACGGGACAGUGUCAGUCGGGCAGUUUGACUGGGGCGGUCGCCUCCCAAAGAGUAACGGAGGCGCCCAAAGAUACCCUCAGCAUGGAUGGAAACCAUGCAUAGAGUGCAAAGGCAUAAGGGUGUCUGACUGCGAGACAUACAGGUCGAGCAGGGACGAAAGUCGGGCUUAGUGAUCCGGCGGAUCCGAAUGGAAGGGCCGUCGCUCAACGGAUAAAAGCUACCCUGGGGAUAACAGGCUGAUCUCCCCCAAGAGUCCACAUCGACGGGGAGGUUUGGCACCUCGAUGUCGGCUCAUCGCAUCCUGGGGCUGAAGUAGGUCCCAAGGGUUGGGCUGUUCGCCCAUUAAAGCGGUACGCGAGCUGGGUUCAGAACGUCGUGAGACAGUUCGGUCCCUAUCUGUCGUGGGCGCAGGAUAUUUGAGGAGUGCUGUCCUUAGUACGAGAGGACCGGGAUGGACGCACCGCUGGUGCACCAGUUGUCAUGCCAAUGGCACGGCUGGGCAGCUACGUGCGGAUCGGAUAAACGCUGAAAGCAUCUAAGCGUGAAGCCGGCUCCAAGAUAAGAUAUCCCAUAACGAAAGUUAGUAAGACCCCUUGAAGACUACAAGGUUGAUAGGCUGCGUGUGUAAGUACCGUGAGGUAUUCAGCUUGGCAGUACUAAUAGGUCGAGGGCUUGACCAU